UCCGUAGGUGAACGUGCGGAAGGAUCAUUACCGAGUGCGGGUCCUUUGGGCCCAACCUCCCAUCCGUGUCUAUUGUACCCUGUUGCUUCGGCGGGCCCGCCGCUUGUCGGCCGCCGGGGGGGCGCCUCUGCCCCCCGGGCCCGUGCCCGCCGGAGACCCCAACACGAACACUGUCUGAAAGCGUGCAGUCUGAGUUGAUUGAAUGCAAUCAGUUAAAACUUUCAACAAUGGAUCUCUUGGUUCCGGCAUCGAUGAAGAACGCAGCGAAAUGCGAUAACUAAUGUGAAUUGCAGAAUUCAGUGAAUCAUCGAGUCUUUGAACGCACAUUGCGCCCCCUGGUAUUCCGGGGGGCAUGCCUGUCCGAGCGUCAUUGCUGCCCUCAAGCCCGGCUUGUGUGUUGGGUCGCCGUCCCCCUCUCCGGGGGGACGGGCCCGAAAGGCAGCGGCGGCACCGCGUCCGAUCCUCGAGCGUAUGGGGCUUUGUCACAUGCUCUGUAGGAUUGGCCGGCGCCUGCCGACGUUUUCCAACCAUUCUUUCCAGGUUGACCUCGGAUCAGGUAGGGAUACCCGCUGAACUUAAGCAUAUCAAUAAGCGGAGGAA
rnacentral:rRNA from 1 species